rnacentral:rRNA from 1 species
CUCCUAAAGAGUAACGGAGGAGCACGAAGGUUGGCUAAUCCUGGUCGGACAUCAGGAGGUUAGUGCAAUGGCAUAAGCCAGCUUGACUGCGAGCGUGACGGCGCAAGCAGGUGCGAAAGCAGGUCAUAGUGAUCCGGUGGUUCUGAAUGGAAGGGCCAUCGCUCAACGGAUAAAAGGUACUCCGGGGAUAACAGGCUGAUACCGCCCAAGAGUUCAUAUCGACGGCGGUGUUUGGCACCUCGAUGUCGGCUCAUCACAUCCUGGGGCUGAAGUAGGUCCCAAGGGUAUGGCUGUUCGCCAUUUAAAGUGGUACGCGAGCUGGGUUUAGAACGUCGUGAGACAGUUCGGUCCCUAUCUGCCGUGGGCGCUGGAGAACUGAGGGGGGCUGCUCCUAGUACGAGAGGACCGGAGUGGACGCAUCACUGGUGUUCGGGUUGUCAUGCCAAUGGCACUGCCCGGUAGCUAAAUGCGGAAGAGAUAAGUGCUGAAAGCAUCUAAGCACGAAACUUGCCCCGAGAUGAGUUCUCCCUGAGACUUUAGAUCUCCUGAAGGAACGUUGAAGACGACGACGUUGAUAGGCCGGGUGUGUAAGCGCAGCGAUGCGUUGAGCUAACCGGUACUAAUGAACCGUGAGGCUUAACCUU